rnacentral:rRNA from 1 species
UACGUAGGAUGCAAGCGUUGUCCGGAAUUACUGGGCGUAAAGCGCACGUAGGCGGUCUUUUAAGUCGGGGGUGAAAUCCUGGAGCUCAACUCCAGAACUGCCUUCGAUACUGGAAGACUUGAGUCCGGGAGAGGUGAGUGGAACUGCGAGUGUAGAGGUGAAAUUCGUAGAUAUUCGCAAGAACACCAGUGGCGAAGGCGGCUCACUGGCCCGGUACUGACGCUGAGGUGCGAAAGCGUGGGGAGCAAACAGG